rnacentral:pre_miRNA from 12 species
UGAGCUGUUGGAUUCGGGGCCGUAACACUGUCUGAGAGGUUUACAUUUCUCACAGUGAACCGGUCUCUUUUUCAGCUGCUCC